UCUCCGUUGGUGAACCAGCGGGGGGAUCAUUACCGAGUUUACAACUCCCAAACCCAAUGUGAACCAUACCAAACUGUUGCCUCGGCGGGGUCACGCCCCGGGUGCGUCGCAGCCCCGGAACCAGGCGCCCGCCGGAGGGACCAACCAAACUCUUUCUGUAGUCCCCUCGCGGACGUUAUUUCUUACAGCUCUGAGCAAAAAUUCAAAAUGAAUCAAAACUUUCAACAACGGAUCUCUUGGCUCUC
rnacentral:misc_RNA from 1 species